CAAGAGCGUAUGUAAAAGUUGUUACAGUUAAAAAGCUCGUAGUUGAACCUUAGGUUUGGUUGGCCGGUCCGCUUUUUUGCGAGUACUGGAUUCAACCGAGCCUUUCCUUCUGGCUAACCAGUCGUUUCGGCGGCUGGCGAACCAGGAUUUUUACUUUGAGAAAAUUAGAGUGUUCAAAGCAGGCAUUAGCUUGAAUAUAUUAGCAUGGAAUAAUAGAAUAGGACGUUAUGGUUCUAUUUUGUUGGUUUCUAGGACCAUCGUAAUGAUUAAUAGGGACGGUCGGGGGCAUCAGUAUUCAGUUGUCAGAGGUGAAAUUCUUGGAUUUACUGAAGACUAACUACUGCGAAAGCAUUUGCCAAGGACGUUUUCAUUAA
rnacentral:rRNA from 1 species